GACGAACGCUGGCGGCGUGCCUAAUACAUGCAAGUAGAACGCUGAAGGAGGGGCUUGCUUCUCUGGAUGAGUUGCGAACGGGUGAGUAACGCGUAGGUAACCUGCCUGGGAGCGGGGGAUAAAUAUUGGAAACGAUAGCUAAUACCGCAUAAGAGUAGAUGUCGCAUGACAUUUGCUUAAAAGGUGCAAUUGCAUCAAUAAAAGAUGGAAUGGAGUUGUAUUAGCUAGUUGGUGAGGUAACGGCUCACCAAGGCAACGAUACAUAGCCGACCUGAGAGGGUGAUCGGCCACACUGGGACUGAGACACGGCCCAGACUCCUACGGGAUGCAGCAGUAGGGAAUCUUCGGCAAUGGACGGAAGUCUGACCGAGCAACGCCGCGUGAGUGAAGAAGGUUUUCGGAUCGUAAAGCUCUGUUGUAAGAGAAGAACGAGUAUGAGAGUGGAAAGUUCACACUGUGACGGUAUCUUACCAGAAAGGGACGGCUAACUACGUG
rnacentral:rRNA from 1 species